rnacentral:rRNA from 1 species
GGGACAACAGUUGGAAACGACUGCUAAUACCGCAUAAGCCCACAGGUCGGCAUCGACCAGAGGGAAAAGGAGCAAUCCGCUUUGAGAUGGCCUCGCGUCCGAUUAGCUAGUUGGUGAGGUAAUGGCCCACCAAGGCGACGAUCGGUAGCCGGACUGAGAGGUUGAACGGCCACAUUGGGACUGAGACACGGCCCAGACUCCUACGGGAGGCAGCAGUGGGGAAUAUUGCACAAUGGGGGAAACCCUGAUGCAGCGACGCCGCGUGGAGGAAGAAGGUCUUCGGAUUGUAAACUCCUGUUGUUGAGGAAGAUAAUGACGGUACUCAACAAGGAAGUGACGGCUAACUACGUGCCAGCAGCCGCGGUAAAACGUAGGUCACAAGCGUUGUCCGGAAUUACUGGGUGUAAAGGGAGCGCAGGCGGGAAGACAAGUUGGAAGUGAAAUCUAUGGGCUCAACCCAUAAACUGCUUUCAAAACUGUUUUUCUUGAGUAGUGCAGAGGUAGGCGGAAUUCCCGGUGUAGCGGUGGAAUGCGUAGAUAUCGGGAGGAACACCAGUGGCGAAGGCGGCCUACUGGGCACCAACUGACGCUGAGGCUCGAAAGUGUGGGUAGCAAACAGGAUUAGAUACCCUGGUAGUCCACACCGUAAAC